rnacentral:rRNA from 1 species
UACGGGGGGGGCAAGCGUUGUUCGGAAUUACUGGGCGUAAAGGGCUCGUAGGCGGCCAACUAAGUCAGACGUGAAAUCCCUCGGCUUAACCGGGGAACUGCAUCUGAUACUGGAUGGCUUGAGUUUGGGAGAGGGAUGCGGAAUUCCAGGUGUAGCGGUGAAAUGCGUAGAUAUCUGGAGGAACACCGGUGGCGAAGGCAAUCCCCUGGGCCUGCACUGACGCUCAUGCACGAAAGCGUGGGGAGCAAACAGG